GAUCCUGCCAGUAGUCAUAUGCU
rnacentral:rRNA from 1 species